GACGAACGCUGGCGGCGUGCUUAACACAUGCAAGUCGAACGGCAAGGCCCUGCUUUUGUGGGGUGCUCGAGUGGCGAACGGGUGAGUAACACGUGAGUAACCUGCCCUUGACUUUGGGAUAACUUCAGGAAACUGGGGCUAAUCCCGGAUAGGAGCUCCUGCUGCAUGGUGGGGGUUGGAAAGUUUCGGCGGUUGGGGAUGGACUCGCGGCUUAUCAGCUUGUUGGUGGGGUAGUGGCUUACCCAGGCUUUGACGGGUAGCCGGCCUGAGAGGGUGACCGGGGUCAAUGGUACUAAGGGAGGGACCAGUGGGGAACAGGGGGCAAUGGGGGGGAGUAUUGCACAGUGGUCGGGAGCCGGAGGCGGCAGCGUCGGGGUCGGGAUGACGGUCUGUGGGGUGAGAAACGCAGUCGGCUGAUACGAAGCGGUUGUGACGGUAAUGGAUGAAGAAGCACCGGCUAACUACGUG
rnacentral:rRNA from 1 species